GGUUAUUCCUCCUGCGCGGGAGCUUUGGGGACGCACUUCUGGAUGCCUAGGCCUCUUCCGUUUGCCUCUGGGACUGGCGAUACUCGAGAUGUCUUGAGGCCUUCCAGACCUUGCUCCACCUCCACCACCAGGUCUCCAGUCCUGAGCCACAUGCUGCCAUUUUUGUCUCAGAAGCACCCCUCUUCCAGGUGGAAGAUUGAAGGUCUGAAGAGUGGGAAGUCCCAGGAACAGGCAAUUCCAGGAAGAUAUGAGGAAAAUCAAGAAAGAGAAGGAAACUGAAGCUAGUGGGAAGUGCUUCAAGUUGGAGAUGAUGCUGAGAUGGCCAAAAAUUUUCAAACCUGAGUGAAUGAAUGAAUAAACGGACCUGGGAAUUGAUCAACAAUGGCUGCUGCAUCGCGUAAAGAGAGACGACCAGGUGUCAGCUGGCUGUCAACUGAUCUAGGAUGGUCUUGGAGGGACAACGAGGGCAACCCCAUGUCUCUUCUUUAGCAGGCCAGCCCAGACAUGCUUUCAUGGCUGAAUAGGAGCCAGCCUGGUCAUGGGAGCAAUUUUCAAGCAAGUCUCUGCUUGAAUGUCACAUUUACUAACAUCCUGUUGGCCAAGGUGCAUCCCAUGGCUGAGCCCAGUGUCCAAGUGAAAGGGCACCAGGAAGUUCCCUGCAGCGCUGUGGGUACUGGAAGAAUGGGCGCCAUCUUCAUGACAGCAGCAUGCUAAGUUACAGAAAGUGAGCGGCGUUCUAGACAAAGCAAGCUCAUCUGUGAAUGGAUCAUGGCGGAAACCUGACCACAGUAUGUUGGGAUUUAUGUGUUUGACAUUUUCUAUAAUAGAAAGGCAGAUCAAAAAUAAGGCUCCAGUGCCUCCACUCAGGAAAGCUCAAGUAGGUUUUCUUGAGAAUUUUUAGUGGAUACCCUGUUUUGCAAUGUUCUUUUCUUUUUCUAAUGAGGCUGAACCAGAUUGUAAUGCCAUGAGGCUUCUACAUGGAGAGCUGGACGUUGGUGAGGAUUGGGUGGAGAAGGCCGGGUGGAGGCUGGGCCUGGGAGAAGAGCAGCAGAUUCCCAAACGUACUGGUAUUGGUGCAUACUCUGAGAAAGACAUCUCAGAGCACUUCUGCCGUCAGUUACGAAGUUUCAAUAUAAGAAUUCUUUCUACACA
rnacentral:lncRNA from 1 species